GUAAAUCUUACGAUAGAUGAAAUGAUAUAUUUGACCACUAAGGAUCGGGAAUUGGAAUAACCUGUGAAUUCAUUAAUGUCUACUUAAUUCUUCAUACACACACGUUGGUUUUGCGUUGGAAAAGUGGAUAUUGGUUUGGUAUUGUGACCUUGAAGCGGUUUGUGAAUUUAAUACGAUGAUCUCACAUUCUGAAUUUAGAAGCUAGGCUGUCCAACCAAAUAUUUUUGCAUGCUUGUGUGUUUGUUGUCAUUUAGGUUAUAAUUUUGUUUGAGGGCAAACAAAUGUCUAAGUUUGGGGGUGUUUGAUAAGUGCAUUUUGUGCACUUAUCUACGCCAUUUUAAUAAAUUUUUACGCCGUCAAAUUUUAAUUUUUACUUAACUUGGGCUAAUUUUCUUUCGUUUUUAGUGACGAGCUCGUUUGAAGCAAUUGGAAAGGAAGAUGGACAUUGGUCGUUCAAUUGAUGAAUUCAAGGACUAAAUUGCAUUAUUUGAGAAAGAGGAAAACAUGGGAGAGAAAAUUUGCAUAAAAUAGACAAUAGAAUUAAAUGGAUCUGAAUUGGAUGUGCUUUGGGAAUCAAAAUUCUGGACUUAAAUUAAGAGAAGUGGGCUUGGCAUGUUGGGCUGAAAUUGAGGAAAAAGGGUUGUAGCUGUUGGGGUGUGUGUGUGUGUGUGUGUGUGUGUGUGUGUGUGUGUGUGUAUAUAUAUAUAACGAGGAGGAGACGGAGAACUCGCAGAGGAAGAGGCGGAAGUAAUUGGAGUCCAACAUUGGCAGUUUUAGUGAGACAAAAAGACAGUACUUGCAGCUGCUGGGGAAGAAACAAAAGGCAGCUUCUGGGAGAAACUGUUGGCUAGGAAUAAACUGCAAGUCGGCUGAAAGAGAAUAUACAUACACACACAAAAAAAGGCAGCAAGAGGCAAGAAGAAAAGGCAGAAAACUGAGGCUGAUUUUGGAGGCAAAAAGUGUAGCCGUUUGAUAUACAUAUAUAAACACACGAAGGCACAAAAAAAAAAAAAAAAAAGAGGUCAGAAUUGGGCACCAAGAAUAUAUUAUACACGCACAGAAUCUGGCGAAUUAGGAAAUGGAACGAGCUGCUUGCUGGAACAAAAACAAAAGAAUUCAAAACCAUUGGAGCAGAGAAUUGAAGUUAGAAGAUAACGAGCUGUCACCUGGAAUCUGCCUAUUUAUUAUACACACCUUGACAAAUACGAGGAAGAAGACGUCAACUUUAACAGGGAGAAUUAAUCGCGUUCCGUCAAAGUUUGGUGAUGUCUUCUAACUUGCAUGUGUUUAAUUUCGACUCCAUGCUAGGCUAACGUUUUAAUAUUGUUAGGAUGUGAUGA
rnacentral:lncRNA from 1 species